AAAUUAUUGAGUUGUCUUUUUUGCUUUUCUUUUAUUAUGUAUUUCCUUGUGUGGGGUAUUCUUGUAAAAUUAAUACCAAACAAAUUGUUCAUAACUUGUUUCUUUGAAAGUUAAAUUUAUUUUAUGUAUUUAGAGAAACUCUUGGAUAAUGUUAAUAUUAGGAUAUAGUUUCUCAGUUAUCUAUGUGUCUACACUCUAUAUUUGUACGUACAUUUCACAUAUGAGCUUUUAUGUAAUACCUGUCUUUUUUAUCUCAAUAUAGGCUUGAGUAUUUAAUGAGCCCAGAAUUUUGAACAUCUUUCCCUUUUUUUUUCUUCUCUAUGUAUAGAAAACUGCAUUAAAAUUAAGGGAUCAAAGUGGGUGCCAACCAAUAGGUUAAAAAGUUUGAGGAUAGACUAUAGAGAGCAUCUGCUAUGCAAGAGCAACAAAAGAACCAAGAGAGAAUCAUCUGCAAGAUGAAUAAUCUAUCAAGUCAAUGGCUGUUUGUGUGUUCAUAUUAUUUGGCCAACUGUCCGAAAAAUGCAAACCGAAGUAAUAGUUUAAGCAAGACAGAUUAAAUACAGUAUUUUGGAUCAAAAUCGUUAAAUUUUAAAUAGUUCAAAUCAAGUUACUUUCAGUAAGAAAUAAAUAGUAUAUCUAUUGUAAAUUGUCAAUGCUAGUCCUUUAGAUAUAUUUUUGGUGUGAUAUUUGUUAUUAAU
rnacentral:misc_RNA from 1 species